rnacentral:lncRNA from 1 species
CUUGAGGGUUUGGAUAGGGUUAAAUGAUUAAAGAAUAAUGCCCUUAAAAAAUGAAGAUUAGAGAAUAACGGGCAAAAAAAAUGAAGAUUAGAGAAAAAAGGUGUUAAUUUUUUGAAGAUUAGAGAAAAAAGGUGUUAAUUUUUUGAAGAAUAGAGAAAAGGGGUGAAAAUUAAAUGUUUACAGACCCCCCCACCCCCCAUCC